GGCUGGUCCAAGCGCAGUGGUGUUUACAACUAAUUGAUUACAACUAGUUACAGAUUUCUCUGUUCCUUCUUCACUCCCAUUGACUAGCCUUAA
rnacentral:Y_RNA from 1 species